rfam:Asian citrus Psyllid, Diaphorina citri - Florida Strain, whole genome shotgun sequence.
GCCUAGUUAGCUUGGUUGGUAACGAGUCUGCUUUUUAAGCGCUAGUCCGCGGGUUCGAUUCCCGUUCAAGGCG